GGGGUUUGUGUUAGAAGGACAUUAAUAUGAUUGAAUCAGGGCACUACCCUUAUGCCCCCAUUUAACCUUCUCACACUCCAAUCCCACAUUGGGGAUUAGAGCUUCAACAUAGGAGUUUGGGGGGGAUACAAGCAUUCAGUCCAUAAGCCUGCCAAACAAAUUAUCACAACUUUGCAGCUUAAAACACACUCAUUUAUUACUCCACAGCUUUUUAGAUAAGUACAGACAGUUCGACUGGAUUCCCUGCUCAGGGUCUCAUCAGGCUGAAGUCUAAGGUGUUGUCUGGGUGGGUGUCUCAUCUGGAGGCUGUGGGGAGGAGUCUAUUCAGAUUCAGAUCUGUGUGGCCAUAAAGUGGAGGGCUUCACUUUCUUUCUGGCUGUUGCUUGAGAGCAACUCUCAGUCCCUGGAGGACACUCAUAGUCCUUGGCAUGUGGCCCCUUCCAUAUUUAAAGCCAGCAGUCACUCCUGGGCUUGAAGUCUUUCACUUCCUCAUCUGUUACCAGCCAGAGAAAACUGCUUUUAAAGGUCUCAUGUGAUUCGAUCAGGCCCACCCAGACAAUCUCCCUUUUGCCAUAUACGAUAACAUCGCAUCACCAUAGGAGCGAUAUCUCCUCACAUUCGGAUUCCCUGCACCCUCAAAAGGAGGUGACUGUACAGAGGUGAAGGUCAUUCUUAGAACUCUGCCUACCAUGCUCUCACAGAAGAGAUUGUGCGUUUGGAUGAAGCUUCAGCCCGUGCCAAUGAGGUUCCAUCCUCUUGUGAUCUUCCCUCCCUGCCUGCCAGUUGAUGAGAACUUCCAUCUGCGCCCAUGAAUUUGAGUCUGCCCAUGAACUUCCCUUCCCGACAGCCUGUGGAUCUCAGACUUGCUUAGCCAACCCCACAUUUGUGAAAGUCAAUUUCCUAUUUGCCUCCUUCUAGGUUAUCUGCCCAUCCACCCAGACCACCACUUCCAGCAGGUUAAGCUGAGGGCUUUAUCACCUGAGCUGGGGAUGCCCCGAGGCAAGAAUGCCACUGAAUCACCAAACUGGCCCAACUCAGUGGAAGUUUUCAGGAGUAAACACUUCUCAAGUUUUUGUCUACCUUUGGUUAUUUUCCGGUGACUUGAAAUGAUUAUUUUGAUGAGGUUGUUCAGUUUUACACUUAUUUUUGUGACGGGCGCUCACCUGAUCUUCUCACACCGCCAUUACUGGAACAUUUGCUCCUGGAACCCAAUCUCUGUGCCAUAAAGAAGCAUAGGGACCAUGCUUUGCUGCCGAAUCGCCCCAGAGUUUGAGUCUUCCCAGUAGAGGUCCCAGACACUGUGGAGCAGAGACGAGAGACCUCGGUUGUACCCUUUCCAGACUCCUGCCUUGAGGAUGUAAUAAAAUGGUCUUUGUUACUAAGUCUCAGGUGAUUGGUCAUGCAGCAAUAAGUUGAGUAGCUUAGUAUGGCGCUUCGCACAUUUUUCAUAAAGCAAUGGGCAUCUGGAGAUAGGACUGCAGGCUCCUUUUCUAACGUCAUUUAAUAAGGAAAUCAGAUUCCAUUUUGCAUGUUUCUCUUACAGCAUUGUCUUCAAUAUAGAACCUACUUGCCUGAAUGCUUUGUAGAGUUAUAUUGCCACUCCGUUUGAUUUGUAAUACAAAUCCGACUUGUUCUCAAUACUACUGAAAAAUCCAAAGGAAGAGAACAUGUUUUCAAUUAUUUGUGAAACAUCUUCAUUUUGCUGGAAAGAAUUACUCCAAAAUUCAAGUCUAAUUUUUGCCCCAGAAGAUCUGUUGUAGGAAAGAAUGUCCUGGGCUGGGAAACCAAAAACCCUGGACUGGAGUUUGAUUGCAUGACCCUGGACCAGUCACAUCAAUUCUGAUGCUUUCAUUACAAGGGCUUCCAAGUUCAGGUACAGAACAAUGUAAAAUGCAUAACUUCAGCUGCAGCCGUUAUUCCAGAGUUCUGAAGAGCAGCCAGCAGAAAUUGGUCAAGAGUCCAUUUGGCCCACACCCUCCACCCGUCUACCACAGAGGCGGACUGCUCAUAGAACACAUCACAGAAUGCUUUAAAUGUUCUGCCAGUUUUCAGCUCUCACAAAGCAAGUUGUGAGAGGAAAUGGAAAACAUGACGGCAGUUUGGUGGACUACAACAGGAAGCAGGAAGCAGCCACUUUUUGAGCAUUCCCUCCAGCAACGAUUAAAGUAGAAGCAGCAAAGCUGUACAAUACAAUACAGCCCUCUGCCAGCAGAUCUGUUACUAAAGGAAUUCAUGCAUCUUGCAUCUUGAAGAUGCAUUAUUAAUGCCUGGACAAAUCACAUCAGGUGAAACGCAGCAAGUCCCUGGCACUGAAAAAAAGGAACAAAGGCUGGUUCUACAAGAGAGCGAUGGAUGAGACAAAUUAUAACAGCUGGGAGUUUCUUUGAUUAUUUAACCCUGCCCAGACGGUGUUGGACCUCAGAGCGAUAGAUGGGUCCAGAGCCCUCCCUGUAGGUGAACAAAUGAGAUGGUGUGUCCUUCCUGCCUUGGACGCUGGCUGGGUGUCGUUCUCCGCGUGCCGACUUCAGCAGUAUGUUCUGCAGAGUGCCACAUGGAAGAUGAAUCUCGGCUGAGGAAUGUUCGGUUGUGGCAACUUGGCCUCGUGAUAUAGCUGCAUCCCUAUAGGAACGGGGGAAAGAUCCUCCCCAUCAUCAUUCUUCUGUGAAUAUGUUAGAGUGCUGGACGUCGAGUAGGUGCGCAGAAAACUUUUGCUUUAAUGAAUGAAAGAACGAAUGAAGAUUCACUUAAGGUGGUAUCACAAUCUACGUGUAAAUGGAAUGAAGAAAGUGGAGGUUGAUCUUUGUCAUCUAUUGUCAUUGUUCCUUCGUCUGGAAGCUGUAGAAUCUGCAUAGAAUCCCAGUGACUUUAAAACAGAAGAUUGCAGGCAAUGAGGCCUCUCACUGUAUUGCAUUUAGAGGGCACCAACUUUGUGCCUAGAGCGAUGCUAGAUGCUGGACAAGCAAGAGAGAAAAGGUCUAGCUCAUGGGAUCCUGAUGUGCCUGAACAGGUGUGUAAAAAGGAGUCUCCUGUCUGUACCUUGUCCCACAGGAUUAGAGAAUGGAAGUCACAUGUGGAGGUGAGCACAGUAAAGGGGCCAGCCUGAAUGUUGCUCUGUGUCUUGUCCCUAGACCACUUUUCUGCUCAGCCAACAAAAAAAGCAAAAGCAAAAAAGGCCCACUUGCAACAUUGGCCCCAGACGUUCCUAUGAUAGCAGAGACUGUGGAUGUGUGUGUGAGCCACGGCACUGUUGUCAGUGGGAGUUGGCAGCCUGGCCCUUGCCUUUGGGGCUGGCAGCAACAGGAGAGGUGGAAGAAGGUGGGAGUCACAGAGAAUCCAAGAGGCCAAGAGUCACAUGGAAACCCCUGCCCUCUGGGGGCCUCUGAAUUGCUUUUGGAGAACUUUAGACUGCUAGGGUUCUGGGAUGGAGAAAAAAGCCAGGGAACAAUGAUUUGUCACAAUUUUUGUGACCUCAAUUUUAUGACCCCAACAACCCUGUGAAAGAGGAUUUGGGGUUUUUAUUCUCAAGACACAGAUGAGGAAACAGAACUGGUAAGGCGAUUGAUUUGGGGCUCAAACCCAGACUGGCUUCAGAGUCCUUUUUUUUCGUGUUUUUAAACAAAUGGUCCUCAUGUUAGCAUUGUGCAUCACAGGGCAUAAAUAAUUAAUACUUGGAAAUUCAUCUAUAAACACAAAGAAUCCGUCUACAACCAUGAUAGAGCCUUCCCUGAAGUGGUUAGUCUAGAAGUUUGAACACAGUGGGUGUUCAAGAGAUUUUUAAAGAUCUAUUCAUUGGAAUGACCUAGUCAGAUUGGCCAAGGCAGGUGCCUAAAUUCUCUUCCUCUAUUCAGGGCAACAAUGGCACCAGGGGUCUUUCAGGCCACUAAUCCCUUCCUGGGUCAGUGAGCUUCAGCUUCAGGCUUCUAUUCCCUGUAUCUUGUGAGCUUGACCUUGUGAAGACCCAGAAGGAAUGUAAAGUCACAUACUUUUUCUAUAGUGGGUCAAUUUUC